GGGUCGACUGGAAACAGCCCCUUUGCCCUUUCGGGUAGGGGUAAGGCUCGUCUACAUAUUACCCUCCCCAGACCCCAUCUGGUGGGAAUAGACUGGGUAGUUGUUGUAGUUGUUGUUGUUGUUGUUUGAGAAGACUGCAAAAAGUAGUAGCAUUUCAUAUUCUCUGACAAUAUUCACUUGGAUUUAAUACAUUGACAGUUUGUAGUUUGACCUCUUAUAGCUGAUUAGUUACCAUUGUUGUUAGGUUAGCAUAGAGAUUUGCCUAUAAAUACUUUAGAAGGACUUGA
rnacentral:lncRNA from 1 species